ensembl:lncRNA LINC01013 long intergenic non-protein coding RNA 1013
ACAUUUAAGAAAAUCAGAAUUUCAGUAGACUCCUCGUGCAGUCUGAGGAGGCAGUUUCCUAUCUGGUUUGACUUAAGGGGCUGCAGAAGACAUUCUUAUCCCACAUAUUUCUUCUGCUGAUCAGUCAGCAACUGAAAUUCCAACUAAUGGAUUCCAUUCUUCCAGUUAAGACAUCAUCUCCAGAAAACUGUGCUAGUUGGCAUCCAGCAGUGCCCAAGUAUUAUUUAACCCACUAGAACCUGUGACUGCAUCAGCUUUAUAUCCUGGACCUCAGCCUGGAACAAAGGAGAGCUACACUUGGAUACUAAACACAAGUGGUCUGGAUAGAUUAUGCUGGGAAAAGAAGCCUGGAGCAGGCAGUACAGUGGGAGAACAAGACAGAAGUGCUUGCCUUGGUGAUCCAAAAAAGGCAGGAUCCGGCCGGGGGCAAGAUGUAUAAGGAGACCAUUUUAUUCUCAAGAAGCUUACUGCAGGAAAGAAAUCCCUCAGAGUCCUGAAGAUACAGCUUUCAGAACUUAGGUGAAGCAAGAGGACUCAAGGUGUGCAAGAAUGGACAGUACAGAAUGCUCUGCUACACUGCUCAGAUUCCCCCUUCAGGAAGGAAGGACAAAUUCACUCAACUUCUGGGAGCAUUGAUGGUUGAGCUCUCAGCCAUCAGACCUUUUUGGAAGUUGCCCUCUUCUGAAAAGAGGCACAUUGCCCAAGAUCUUUCCUCCUCCAGAGCGCAGGCUGCACCUGAAGUCUGAUUGAUGUGGGGUAUGAUGGUCUGGUCUCCUUUCCCCAUCUAAAGGACUGUUCUAACCUCAGGGCUCUCCUUGAGUUUCCUUAGUUAGUUCUUAUUACUAUGUUGCAGUCCAACUUCUUCUUUGGCCUAAUUCUACUUUCCUCCCAUUCCCCAAUUGUUGAUCCUGACAGCAAUUUCCCCCCAAAUUUCUGUAAACUAAGCAUGAUCUCAGAGUCACCUGACCUGCAACAUUAUUACAUACACUAUAGUCCGUGCACUUAAAGAUUUAGUGAAAGUAUGCUGCUGAAGCUUGCCAGAACUUCCCUUCUUCCACUGAAAAUUUGUCUGUUCAUAGAUAUACACCAUUCGUUCUCUUCUCUACUUUGGCCAAUUAUCUUAUGUUUGGGAAGGUGUUCUGCUAGAAGACAAAAUAGCAAUUCUUAGAACUAGAAAGAAAAACACAUCAAAGUCUGUCCUUUCUUAUGUCUUUUCUAUCUACAACAAAUACCCUGUGAUAAAAAGGAUGAUAGGAAAUAUAAGUAGUUUGAGUCCACCAAAUAUUUGGCUUGAAGUAUUUGGGUAUGAAAUACAAACUCACUUGACCUGGGCUCAAAUUUGCCAGCACUUCUUUUCUUUCUUCUCUUUUCAGAAACAGACUUUAUUUAUAUCAAUGUUAACAUCAAUCACAUAACCAUCAGGAAGGCUGUAACUUUGAUUUUUUUUUGUCCAAUAGUUGGGCCAAGUUUACAUUUCUCUUAUUUUAUUUAUUUAUUAUUAUUAUUUUUUUGAGAUGGAGUCUUACUCUGUCACCCAGGCUGGAGUGCAAUGGCGUCAUCUCAGCUCACUGCAACCUCCGCCUCCUGGGUUCAAACAAUUCUCCUGCCUCAGCCUCCUGAGAAGCAGGGAUUACAAGUGUGUGCCACCACGCCCGGCUAAUAUUUGUACUUUCAGUAGAGAACGGGGGUUUCACCAUGUUGCUCAGGUGGUCCCGAACUCCUGACCUUGCGAUCCACCCGCCUUGAACUCCCAAAGUGCUGGGAUUACAGGUGUGAGCCACCGUGCCUGGACCAUUUCUUUUCUCAUAUAUCAGCCUAUGCCAGGGGGGAGACUGGCUGAGGUUAAAGGCUAAUGUCAAGUACUAACUGAACAACAAAUGGAUAACCUCAACAAUGCAAUAUCCUGGUUGAAAUUGUUAGUGAAUUUUUUUAGCAGACCUGAGAUCUAUGUAUCUCCAUUCAAC